CGCGCCCGCAUACGGCCCCGGCCCUAGCACCCAACCGCUGAAGACCCUCGAGACAAGCACCCUCAUCCACCCUCUCGCUGCGCGCGACAACAGAUCAGUCAAGAACCAACCAUGGAGCCCCCCAAAGCCCCACCCGGAGUCACCAUCGUUCUUUCCCACCCACCUGCCAAACAUCCAGACCAUGUAUCAAGCUGGGAUGUAUUUAUUUUGUAGUUAUGUUAUAUUUGCUAUUAUAAUUGGAUAGGUAAAGUAAAUAAAUGAUCUCAAAAUGCCGUUGUUAUAUCAUAUGAUUUAUUUAUGUUUUAUAUUAAUUUGUAAAACUCAUAGUAUUAUAGUUUAUGUCCUGUAUUCUAGCUUUCAUUUACCCAAGUGUGGUUAUUGUGCUCUCCGCCCCAUGAGAGGUGUUAGUGGGGGUUCGAGCAGGAUACAGGAAACGCCCCGAUUCCAGAGGCGCCCCUGGUUCUUUUAAGUGCCCGGUGUAUAGCACCGAUACACUGCACCCCCGUUUAACGUCUCUCGCGGAGGACAUAUUAGUACAUAGUGUUAGUAUCGGUACUUAUAUACAUGUGUAGUUCUGCUGUCUUGUGUCAUAUCUUACGGUAACGUGGGCUCUCUCUGUUGCUAUUUGGUAUAUAGUUUGAAUGUUAUUGCGAAGGGCAGGCUAGUUUUUGAAAGAUCAUGUAUUUGAUGAUAGAAGAAAGGGACUAUGUUUGUUUGAUUGGGCCGAUGACUAGUUCGUUGGGGGUAGAAAAUUUCUUUGUAAAUUCUUUCUUAUUGCUGUGUUAAGUGUCUUGUGAGACUGUGGUGUUGUAAGGGCCAGACUAGUUUUGAUAGGUCAUUUAUUUGAUGAAAGAAGAGAGGGCUGAGUUUGAGAUGAUAGUAAAUUUGGUAUUAGGGAGAGCGCACACGUUAGUGUUUCUGGUUAUAAAAGCAAAGACAGCAUUCCUAUGUGUUUUUGUAAUAUGCCAGGUUAGUAUCGUGGUCUGGUCUGGGGCAUAUGAUUCACUGAAAACUGCCCGCUUUAUAUACAGACAGCCCUCUUAAAUGAUCAGUCGCCAAAUACGCAAUCGCUCCGCCCACUAAGUUGUGUUUUCAUAAAACGCUUAUUCCAUUACUCCGUAAGUCUUUGUUUGUCGGACCAUGUGGCCGCAAUAAACGAAAUCUGAUUGAUUAUUACGUGAGUUUGAUUGACAGCUGGCGAGUGGUCAAUUACUUUAAAAAGAGCAUUGUUGUCUGGUUAAGCUUGUUAAUAACCUUAUGUAGUCUUUUAUCACGCCAAACUGUGAUACCAUAUGUCUUACUCAUAAAUCUGUGUCCAGACAAUCAAAGCAUGUCGGCAUAAUUAAUUUUCAUCAACUCACACUUUUACAAAACAUAACUAACACAAAAGCAUUCAAUUAUUCUUCUAUAUUUAAACCAAACUAUCAUACAAUAUGUCUGAUUAAAAAAUCUUUGAACAGAAAAUGAAAGCAUGCCGUCAAAUUAAACGUCGUUUAACAUUUCACGCUUGUUCAGAUUUCAGGGGCGAAUUGUCUUGGGGUGAGAUUUCUUUGGGGCGAGUUGUCUGAUUCCCAUUCCGAAUGGACUUUGAAAGAAACGAACGACAACUUUGUAAGAAAACCCGCCAAUGGGGCUCGCGACCAAUCGGAUGGAUGCUAUGCCUGCUGGGAUCGCCAUGCUCUUUUUCGACGCGGACAGUGGACCCGACAUGACCGACCUAACGGACUCGACUUGACGGACUCGACCUAAUCAAUUUUCUUUAUUCUUAGACUUAAGUCUAAGAAUUGUUUGGUGAAUACGGGCCUAGCAGAUUCUUUUGUGCACGAGAUGCGGUCAAAAAGAAGAAAAGACGAAAGAACCAAUCCAGACUUGGUGGCAGAGGAAAGUAUAAAAAAGAAUGCAGAUCUUGGUGGAUUUUGUGUGGAUACAAUUCCACCUAAAGGUAGAGGAGUUAGAACAGAAGUUCAUAGAAACAAGGGCGACUUUCUCCUUACCUAUCAUGGAGAAUUAAUCACAGGAGAAGAAGGCAAUAAAAGAGAACUAAUGUCUGUCUCUGUCUUCAGAUUCUUCUUUUCUUUCAAAGGGAAGCAG